AUUGAACGCUGGCGGCAUGCCUUACACAUGCAAGUCGAACGGCAGCACGGGAGCAAUCCUGGUGGCGAGUGGCGAGCGGGUGAGUAAAGUAUCGGAACGUGCCCAGUCGUGGGGGAUAACGUAGCGAGAGUUACGCUAAUACCGCAUACGAUCUAUGGCGGAAAGCGGGGGAUCGCAGGAGCUCGCGCGACUGGUGCGGCUGGUAUCAGAUUAGGUAGUUGGGGGGGGAAAGGCUCACCAAGCCGACGAUCUGUAGCUGGUCUGAGAGGACGACCAGCCACACUGGGACUGAGACACGGCCCAGACUCCUACGGGGGGCAGCAGGGGGGAAUUUUGGACAAUGGGCGAAAGCCUGAUCCAGCCAGGCCGCGUGCAGGGUGAAGGCCUUCGGGUUGUAAACUGCUUUUGUACGGAACGAAAAGGUUUGGCCUAAUAAGCUGAGCUCAUGACGGUACCGUAAGAAUAAGCACCGGCUAACUACGUGCCAGCCGCCGCGGUAA
rnacentral:rRNA from 1 species